rnacentral:tRNA from 1 species
GCCUGGCUAGCUCAGUCGGUAGAGUGUGUGAUUCUUGAUCUCGGGGUAGUAAGUUUGAGCCUCAUGUUGGGUG